CAAGGCGCCGCUGGCUCGAGGCCGCUGCCUCGCCUGCCGCGGAGAAGGCAGCGGCUGCGGAAGAAUAGCCCAGAGCUAUCGAAGUUUCUGCACACGAUAAGAACAACAAAAUACAAAAUUACGCAAAUAAUUUGAAGGCGAUUGGAAUGUCGCUGUUAAUAAGAAGUUAAAGAGGAUAAACAGGAAGAAGAAGCAGAGGCAAGCAAAUUAGUGAAGUAAUUAACGAGUACCGGGAGCUUACAUGAGCGUGCAGAUAGGCUGUCAGAAAUGUCAAUCAGACAUUUUAGUGUGUGGCGCUGUCUCCUCGGUCCAACUCAACUGAAGAGAGUGCAUGCCAUUUUGGCACCGUUCACAUCUACAUGGCAGAGGAAUGCUUUGCAUCUACUGGUUAUUGAGAAAUCCGAGGUUGUGACUUCUUCACUCUGGCAUUAUAUCUUUUAUUUCUCUCAUCGUGUAGCACUUCUUUUGGAAUUGAAAGCUUAUAUAUUGAUUACUCUAUACCACAGUAGUGAACUAUAAAUAUGAUUACCUUAUAAUAUCAACCUGUAGAUACAGGGUUCUUAUGUUUAUGAUAUACAUGGGAAUAACUAUCUAACUUAUCUGGCAGGAGUAUGUUGUACAGCUUUAGGUACGUACAAGUGCAAUCUUCAGAAUGCUAUUAUCAUGGUUGAUUUACUACGGAAAUUUUCUCUUCGGGAUAAUAUGUGCUCACCAUUGCACUAUGUGGCUACAGGAGUAUUGUUUGAAGUCUAUUUCCACUCCUCUUUCGUGAACUAUUCACAAUGUCUUCAGGUUGGUAAAGCAUCCAAAUUGGGAAGUUUUGUGUUAGUACUUUUAAUGUAUGUAGUUUUUUUUUUGGUCGAAAUGGUUAAUGUUUGUAGUUAUGCAUCACAGGAAUGUUCUGAAUGAACGGCAAACAAAAUUGUUCUGGUUGACUGGAUUCGCUAUGGGAUCGUCGCUAUAAGAGCUAGAGUAACCUUCAACAUUCAAAAUAUGUAUGAUAGGGGAAAUAAAAAUUGUAUGAUCAGAAGAUUCUACUUGCGCCCAUUCUAAAGCUGAAGAUAACAUGUUGUUGGCCCUUUAUAUUGGUAUUUUUUCCUGGUUGUUUUAGUGAAGUACGAGAGUUCCACAACUUGCAGUUAGUUUUGGUUCUCUGUUUGAAAGAAUUUUUCUUGUGUGUGCAAGGCAGAAGCAUAUAUUUUGACGCACUCUGUUUUAAACUUAUGUGGGAACUACAGACCACAUGUCAGAAUUCUUUUCUUGGUUGUUGAAAAUGCGCCAUUCUUAGAACCUAUUUUAUGGCUUCCAUGUUUAUUUUUAUGUUCGCUGACAAUUUUAUAACCUUGUUGCUUCAAAAAAAAUAUGUUUGUCUACCAUUACGAGCCAUCCACAGUAUAACAAAUGGUAGGGAUUUAUGUGGCCGUGAGAGGUCUUAACAAAUGAUCACCUGGGGAGUGCUAAUCAAUUAAUAGCUUUUGUAUACAGAUUCAAAGGGGUAAUGCUUAUGCUAUUUUUAAUUCUCUAUGUUUUGUGAUCGUGUUUUGAGAGAAGAAAACCAGAAAUAGGAAAAACAUGCUUCUGCUGUUUCGAGUUGGUAAUCAAGAAAUUGGUAGUUAGUUAAAUUAAUAACCAGGAAUUGCUCUUCCCUUGGAAUGUUCAGAUAAAACCACUACUUACGGUGGUGCAGAUCUUCUUCAAAUAUUCGCUCUUAUGGAGCAAGGUAAGUGUGUUGGAUGGUUCAUCUUUGUCUAGAUUAGGCAACUUAAUUACAUAGCCGAUUAAGACUGACCAAUAUUCUUUUUUGAUGUGGUUGGUUCAUGUCCUUGAUUGCAUGGAAUAUCCAACGUUUCUUCUGUUCCAGAUUUUCUAAUGGGCUCUUUCUGGCUGUAGCUCAAGAAUUAAAUAUUUUAGGUUGUAUGUUUUACCUCAGGAACUGAAUAUUUUGGAGCUCGAGAGAUCAACAAGAAGUUCAGAGUCAAGAAUCUUGAUAACAACAUGCCUGAAAAUUCUACCUCAACAAAUAGGUGUAGCAGUGCACUUAUCUCUUCCUGUGCCCAACAAUGACAAAGAAGCCAUCCAAGGUCUUGCCCUCUCUGUCUCAAAGGAAGAGCUGAUGCCGGGUGAGGACAACAAUGCUGGCUGCUAAUAUCUCAAAGACAUAAGAACACCCGAAGCACCUGUCUUACCAUGCUAUCCGCUAAUUAAUUAACGAUGUAUAUUAGUACCACUAGCUAAUCGACAAACUAUGUACUGGAGUACUAUGUAUAUUAAGCAACAAUGCAAGAUAUUACCAGUAACUGAUCUUCCUGUUAUGUGAUGUAAUCCUAUCAACUAUGCAAUCCUGUAGGAAGAUGUAUCAGCAUAAGUGACUAUAGUUAAGUAACAAUGUAUAUUAGUACCACUAGCUAAUUGACAAGCUCUAUGUACUGGAGUAGCAACAAUGCAAGUUGGUACCAGUAACUAAUCUUCCGGUUAGUUGAUGUAAUCCUGGAGGAAGAUAUAUCAG